CAGCUGGGGCACUGCUUAUCUCCAGAAAUUCCUCUUUUUCUUGCCUGAUAGUUGUCUUUGCUCCAAAAAUAGGAUUGUGUGUCUCCAGGUCACUGAAGGACUGGAUCUGAGAGCAGAUGAGGAGAUCAGGACCUGUCUGCAUGGACAGACCAAUGGAGGAAAGCCUUUUCUUUGUAGAUAAAGCUGAAUUCAUCCAUUGAGUGAGAGGCAAGAGAGCUUUGGUGAAGCUCUCAAAUAUUGAGUGAGGAGCUGAAGCCUGCACAGCCAUGGAAGCAAUUUAAUGCAUAUAAAGAGAAAUUCUGGAUAUUGGUGGAAUUCAGGA